rnacentral:rRNA from 1 species
UACCCGAGUAGCACCGGGCCCGUGAAAUCCGGUGUGAAUCUGUCGGGACCACCCGAUAAGCCUGAAUACUCCCUGGUGACCGAUAGCGGACUAGUACCGUGAGGGAAAGGUGAAAAGUACCCCGGGAGGGGAGUGAAAUAGUACCUGAAACCGUGCGCUUACAAUCCGUCAGAGCCGAUGCACGAUUCAGUUCGUGGUGGGUGAUGGCGUGCCUUUUGAAGAAUGAGCCUGCGAGUUAGUGGCAUGUCGCGAGGUUAACCCGUGUGGGGUAGUCGUAGCGAAAGCGAGUCCGAAUAGGGCGCAUGUAGUGGCAUGUUCUAGACCCGAAGCGGAGUGAUCUACCCAUGGCCAGGGUGAAGCGAUGGUAAGACGUCGUGGAGGCCCGAACCCACUUAGGUUGAAAACUGAGGGGAUGAGUUGUGGGUAGGGGUGAAAGGCCAAUCAAACUCCGUGAUAGCUGGUUCUCCCCGAAAUGCAUUUAGGUGCAGCGUCGCGUGUUUCUCACCGGAGGUAGAGCUACUGGAUGGUCUAGGGGGCCCACAAGCUUACCGAAAUCAGCCAAACUCCGAAUGCCGGUGAGUGAGAGCGCGGCAGUGAGACUGCGGGGGAUAAGCUUCGUAGUCGAGAGGGAAACAGCCCAGAUCGCCGGCUAAGGCCCCUAAGCGUGUACUAAGUGGAAAAGGAUGUGGGAUCGCUGAGACAACCAGGAGGUUGGCUUAGAAGCAGCCACCCUUGAAAGAGUGCGUAAUAGCUCACUGGUCAAGUGGUUCUGCGCCGACAAUGUAGCGGGGCUCAAGUACACCGCCGAAGCCGCGGCACUCACACAACACCCAUUCGUUCCUGCGGGAACGUGUGCAGUGGUGUGGGUGGGUAGGGGAGCGUCGUGCAGCCGUGGAAGCGCCGGAGUGAUCCAGGUGUGGAGGCUGCGCGAGUGAGAAUGCAGGCAUGAGUAGCGAAAGACGAGUGAGAAACUCGUCCGCCGGAUGACCAAGGGUUCCUGGGCCAGGUUAAUCCGCCCAGGGUGAGUCGGGACCUAAGGCGAGGCCGACAGGCGUAGUCGAUGGACAACGGGUUGAUAUUCCCGUACCCGUGUAUCCGCGCCCAAUGGCGAAUCAGUUGUGCUAACCGUCCAAAAGUUUCCGCUGUUCCUUCGGGAACUGUGGGGAUGGCUGCACGGGACCCUGAUUGUAGUAGUCAAGCGAUGGGGUGACGCAGGAAGGUAGCUGGGCCAGGUGAUGGAGUACCUGGUGUAAGCCGGUAGGGCGAAUGGUAGGCAAAUCCGCCGUUCAUACAGCCUGAGAGGUGAUGCGUACCCGUUGAGGGGAAUUCAGUGAUCCUAUGCUGCCGAGAAAAGCCUCUAGUGAGUUGGUACACGGCCCGUACCCCAAACCGACACAGGUGGUCAGGUAGAGAAUACCGAGGCGAUCGAGAGAACUGUGGUUAAGGAACUCGGCAAAAUGCCCCCGUAACUUCGGGAGAAGGGGGACCACGCCCGGUGACGGCCCUUGCGGUCCGAGCUGGGGGUGGUCGCAGAGACCAGAGAGAAGCGACUGUUUACUAAAAACACAGGUCCGUGCGAAGUCGUAAGACGAUGUAUACGGACUGACGCCUGCCCGGUGCUGGAAGGUUAAGAGGACCGGUUAGCGGAGCAAUCCGCGAAGCUGAGAAUUUAAGCCCCAGUAAACGGCGGUGGUAACUAUAACCAUCCUAAGGUAGCGAAAUUCCUUGUCGGGUAAGUUCCGACCUGCACGAAUGGCGUAACGACUUCUCUGCUGUCUCGACCACAGACUCGGCGAAAUUGCAUUACGAGUAAAGAUGCUCGUUACGCGCGGCAGGACGAAAAGACCCCGGGACCUUCACUAUAGCUUGGUAUUGGUGUUCGGUUCGGUUUGUGUAGGAUAGGUGGGAGACUGUGAAGC